CCCCGGUAAACGGCGGCCGUAACUAUAACGGUCCUAAGGUAGCGAAAUUCCUUGUCGGGUAAGUUCCGACCUGCACGAAUGGCGUAAUGAUGGCCAGGCUGUCUCCACCCGAGACUCAGUGAAAUUGAACUCGCUGUGAAGAUGCAGUGUACCCGCGGCAAGACGGAAAGACCCCGUGAACCUUUACUAUAGCUUGACACUGAACAUUGAGCCUUGAUGUGUAGGAUAGGUGGGAGGCUUUGAAGUGUGGACGCCAGUCUGCAUGGAGCCGACCUUGAAAUACCACCCUUUAAUGUUUGAUGUUCUAACGUGGACCCGUAAUCCGGGUUGCGGACAGUGUCUGGUGGGUAGUUUGACUGGGGCGGUCUCCUCCUAAAGAGUAACGGAGGAGCACGAAGGUUGGCUAAUCCUGGUCGGACAUCAGGAGGUUAGUGCAAUGGCAUAAGCCAGCUUGACUGCGAGCGUGACGGCGCGAGCAGGUGCGAAAGCAGGUCAUAGUGAUCCGGUGGUUCUGAAUGGAAGGGCCAUCGCUCAACGGAUAAAAGGUACUCCGGGGAUAACAGGCUGAUACCGCCCAAGAGUUCAUAUCGACGGCGGUGUUUGGCACCUCGAUGUCGGCUCAUCACAUCCUGGGGCUGAAGUAGGUCCCAAGGGUAUGGCUGUUCGCCAUUUAAAGUGGUACGCGAGCUGGGUUUAGAACGUCGUGAGACAGUUCGGUCCCUAUCUGCCGUGGGCGCUGGAGAACUGAGGGGGGCUGCUCCUAGUACGAGAGGACCGGAGUGGACGCAUCACUGGUGUUCGGGUUGUCAUGCCAAUGGCACUGCCCGGUAGCUAAAUGCGGAAGAGAUAAGUGCUGAAAGCAUCUAAGCACGAAACUUGCCCCGAGAUGAGUUCUC
rnacentral:rRNA from 9 species